GGAUAACCUACCCUUAGGACUGGGAUAACCUUGGGAAACUGAGGCUAAUACCGGAUAGGCAAUUUUUCCUGUAAUGGUUUUUUGUUUAAAUGUUUUUUCGCCUAAGGAUGGGUCUGCGGCCGAUUAGGUAGUUGGUUAGGUAAUGGCUUACCAAGCCGUUGAUCGGUACGGGUUGUGAGAGCAAGAGCCCGGAGAUGGAACCUGAGACAAGGUUCCAGGCCCUACGGGGUGCAGCAGGCGCGAAACCUCCGCAAUGUGAGAAAUCGCGACGGGGGGAUCCCAAGUGCCAUUCUUAACGGGAUGGCUUUUCAUUAGUGUAAAGAGCUUUUGGAAUAAGAGCUGGGCAAGACCGGUGCCAGCCGCCGCGGUAACACCGGCAGCUCUAGUGGUAGCAAUUUUUAUUGGGCCUAAAGCGUCCGUAGCCGGUUUAAUAAGUCUCUGGUGAAAUCCUGUAGCUUAACUGUGGGAAUUGCUGGAGAUACUAUUAGACUUGAGACCGGGAGAGGUUGGAGGUACUCCCAGGGUAGAGGUGAAAUUCUGUAAUCCUGGGAGGACCGCCUGUUGCGAAGGCGUCUAACUGGAACGGUUCUGACGGUGAGGGACGAAAGUUAGGGGCGCGAACCGGAUUAGAUACCCGGGCAGUCCUAACUGUAAACGAUGCGGACUUGGUGUUGGGGUGGCUUUGAGCUGCUCCAGUGCCGAAAGGGAAGCUGUUAAGUCCGCCGCCUGGGAAGUACGGUCGCAAGACUGAAACUUA
rnacentral:rRNA from 1 species